UGGAUCUAAUCACCUGCAGCUAUAACAUGAAAGACUGGAUGGGCUCUCUGAAAUGAAGGGCAUUGGUAUUGGGUGCUACAUAUUACAAAGAGAAGUUCAAACAGAGUCCUAAAC